UGCAUUUUUCUCAUCCUUGGCCUUGAAAACAUAGGUUUUAUUGUCUGUGAAGAUUUCGAAAGCCCGAGGGAGAGAGCGGUCCCUGCGUUUCCUGGCCACAACCUUCACACUCUGUACUUUGCUGAGUUCUAUUGGGUCAUCUGGGUUGAACUGAAGAGUGCUUUCAGGACAAAACGGCCAGUACUGCUCUCUUAGUAGCCAUCCCGAUGGAAGAUUGAGUGAAAAAACUUCAGGAUUUUUUUAUGCUUCCAAGUCUUACAACUCUCCCCACGGAUAACAAAACCUCCCCUAGAACCAUUAAGUGGGUAAGUGUUACCAUCACCCCCCAGAUGGGGUCAACUGAAGAGAAAGAGGUAAAGACUGGUAAGGAUGGGCUUUGCCCCCUCUGUCAUCCCAGUAUGAGGUUGGACUUGAUUGCAUGUAGAAUUUCAAUAAGGAAACUUUCUUUGUAAUUAAUUAUGAAAAU